UACACGACCGUACCGCAAACCGACACUGGUGCGCGAGAUGAGUAUUCUAAGGCGCUUGAGAGAACUCUGGAGAAGGAACUCGGCAAAUUGACACCGUAACUUCGGAAGAAGGUGUGCCUUUAGUAGGUGAAGUCCCUCGCGGAUGGAGCCCAAUGAGGUUGCAAAAAAUCGGUGGCUGAGACUGUUUAAUAAAAACACAGCACUCUGCAAAGACGAAAGUCGACGUAUAGGGUGUGACGCCUGCCCGGUGCUGGAAGAUUAAAUGAUGGGGUGCAAGCUCUUGAUUGAAGUCCCAGUAAACGGCGGCCGUAACAAUAACGGUCCUAAGGUAGCGAAAUUCCUUGUCGGGUAAGUUCCGACCUGCACGAAUGGCGUAACGAUGGCCACACUGUCUCCUCCAGAGACUCAGCGAAGUUGAAAUGUUUGUGAUGAUGCAAUCUCCCCGCGGAAAGACGGAAAGACCCCAUGAACCUUUUCUGUAGCUUUGUAUUGGACUUUGAACAGAUCUGUGUAGGAUAGGUGGGAGGCUUUGAAGCAGGGUCGCUAGAUCUUGUGGAGCCAACGUUGAAAUACCACCCUGGUGUGUUUGAGGUUCUAACCUAGGUCCAUUAGCUGGAUCGGGGACAGUGCAUGGUAGGCAGUUUGACUGGGGCGGUCUCCUCCCAAAGCGUAACGGAGGAGUUCGAAGGUACGCUAGGUACGGUCGGACAUCGUGCUAAUAGUGCAAUGGCAUAAGCGUGCUUAACUGCGAGACUGACAAGUCGAGCAGAUGCGAAAGCAGGACAUAGUGAUCCGGUGGUUCUGUAUGGAAGGGCCAUCGCUCAACGGAUAAAAGGUACUCUGGGGAUAACAGGCUGCUACCGCCCAAGAGUUCAUAUCGACGGCGGUGUUUGGCACCUCGAUGUCGGCUCAUCUCAUCCUGGGGCUGUAGCCGGUCCCAAGGGUAUGGCUGUUCGCCAUUUAAAGAGGUACGUGAGCUGGGUUUAAAACGUCGUGAGACAGUUUGGUCCCUAUCUUCCGUGGGCGCUGCAGAUUUGAGGAAGCCUGCUCCUAGUACGAGAGGACCGGAGUGGACACACCUCUGGUGUAUCGGUUGUCACGCCAGUGGCAUUGCCGAGUAGCUAAGUGUGGAAGAGGUAACCGCUGAAAGCAUCUAAGCGGGAAACUCGUUUCAAGAUGAGAUCUGCCGGGGCCUUGAGCCCCCUAAAGAGUCGUUCAAGACCAGGACGUUGAUAGGUCAGGUGUGGAAGCGCAGUAAUGCGUUAAGCUAACUGAUACUAAUUGCUCGUGCGACUUGACCCC
rnacentral:rRNA from 1 species